rnacentral:rRNA from 1 species
GAAUUUGCCGCCGCGAAUUCGCCCUUCAGGCCUAACCAUGCAAGUCGAACGGAACCUUUCGGGGUUCAGUGGCGCACGGGUGCAUAACACGUAGCUCAUCUGCCCCGGAGCGCGGGAUAACGUGCGGAAACGCACGCUAAUACCGCCUACGGUCACUGGUUGUAGAAGCCAGUGAAGAAAGGCGCAAGCCACUCUGGGAGGAGGCUGCGGCCCAUCAGGUAGUUGGUGUGGUAAAAGCGCACCAAGCCGACGACGGGUCGGGGGUCUGAGAGGAUGACCCCCCACACUGGGACUGAGACACGGCCCAGACUCCUACGGGAGGCAGCAGUGAGGGAUAUUGCGCAAUGGGGGAAACCCUGACGCAGCGACGCCGCGUGGGCGAUGAAGGCUUUCGGGUCGUAAAGCCCUUUUCCCACUGAGGAGAACGGACAGUAGGUGGGGAAUAAGUCUCGGCUAACUACGUGCCAGCAGCCGCGGUAAAACGUAGGAGGCGAGCGUUAUCCGGAGUUACUGGGCGUAAAGCGCGUGCAGGCGGUUCGGUAAGUGGCGGGUGAAAGCGCCUGGCUCAACCAGGCGAGUGCCGGUCAGACUGCUGGACUGGAAUGUCGGAGAGGGACGCGGAAUUCCGGGUGUAGCGGUGAAAUGUGCAGAGAUCCGGAGGAACACCAGCGCCGAAAGGGGCGUCCUGGACGACAAUUGACGCUGAGACGCGACAGCGUGGGGAGCGAACGGGAUUAGAGACCCCGGUAGUCCACGCCGUAAACGAUGCCAACUCGAUGUCGGUGCCGCGAAAGCGGUUUCGGUGUCCAAGUUAACGCGAUAAGUUGGCCGCCUGGGGAGUACGGUCGCAAGGCUAAAACUCAAAGGAAUUGACGGGGGGCCGCACAAGCAGCGGAGCGU